CAUGCAGUCGAGCGGANGACGGGAGCUUGCUCCUUGAUUCAGCGGCGGACGGGUGAGUAAUGCCUAGGAAUCUGCCUGGUAGUGGGGGACAACGUUUCGAAAGGAACGCUAAUACCGCAUACGUCCUACGGGAGAAAGCAGGGGACCUUCGGGCCUUGCGCUAUCAGAUGAGCCUAGGUCGGAUUAGCUAGUUGGUGGGGUAAUGGCUCACCAAGGCGACGAUCCGUAACUGGUCUGAGAGGAUGAUCAGUCACACUGGAACUGAGACACGGUCCAGACUCCUACGGGAGGCAGCAGUGGGGAAUAUUGGACAAUGGGCGAAAGCCUGAUCCAGCCAUGCCGCGUGUGUGAAGAAGGUCUUCGGAUUGUAAAGCACUUUAAGUUGGGAGGAAGGGCAGUAAGUUAAUACCUUGCUGUUUUGACGUUACCGACAGAAUAAGCACCGGCUAACUCUGUGCCAGCAGCCGCGGUAAUACAGAGGGUGCAAGCGUUAAUCGGAAUUACUGGGCGUAAAGCGCGCGUAGGUGGUUUGUUAAGUUGGAUGUGAAAGCCCCGGGCUCAACCUGGGAACUGCNUCCAAAACUGGCAAGCUAGAGUACGGUAGAGGGUGGUGGAAUUUCCUGUGUAGCGNNGAAAUGCNUANAUAUAGGAAGGAACACCAGUGGCGANNGCGACCNCCUGGANUGAUNCUGACACUGANGUGCGAAAGCGUGGGGAGCAAACAGGAUUAGAUACCCUGGUAGUCCACGNC
rnacentral:rRNA from 1 species